CAAAAGUUGUGCACGCCUGAGCGCGUCCUCUCACAUAACAUCCAUCUCACCCUUUUGUGCACCACCGCGUGGGCACCCUUUGGGAUCGAACCGAUCCGGGAGGGGGCUUGCGUUUUCACACAAACCCCUUUUAAAAAAAGUGUAGAAUGUCCCCAUUUUGCGAUGACACGCAAUCAAUACAACUUUCAACAACGGAUCUCUUGGCUCUCGCAUCGAUGAAGAACGCAGCGAAAUGCGAUACGUAAUGUGAAUUGCAGAAUUCAGUGAAUCAUCGAAUCUUUGAACGCACCUUGCGCCCCUUGGUAUUCCGAGGGGCACACCCGUUUGAGUGUCGUGAAAAUCUCAACCUUCUCGGUUUUCUUCUGGACACUGAAGGAGGCUUGGACUUUGGAGGCCUUUGCUGGCAUCUCUCUCUUUUUGAGAGCCAGCUCCUCUUAAAUGAAUUAGCAGGGUCCUCUUUGCCGAUCCUCGACAUGUGAUAAGAUGUUUCCAUGACUUGGUUUCUGGCUCUGUUGCCUUUGGGACCUGCUUCUAACCGUCUCAAAUGAGACAACGGUUUGGGUGUGUCUCCCUCCUCGGGGAAACACUCUCAACCCCACUGACC
rnacentral:rRNA from 1 species